ensembl:lncRNA
GCCUCCUAUUACACAACACCUUUCAGUCUUUAUUUUGCAAUCUGCACAUUAUAUGAAACGUUACCUGCACUUCGCAAGUCUUCGAGAUUUCCAGGACGCCGUUUGUCAGAGCACAGAAGGACGUUUUUUGGUUUCCUCUUCUGUUUGCCACCCUUGUAACAAUCCAAAGUCUUCAUUUGUUUUAAAAAACAAAGCUGAUCUGGAAAGGACACCAAAUAUGUCUGCAGUUUCUGGUUAUUAGCAGGAAGUGUACUCCUUCAGAGGAGCAUUAGUGUGGACUUUGUUAUUAUGUAACUUGCGGUGAAACGGUUUACAAGGUGAUCACAGAGGGGAGGGGAAGCGAUCUUGCACUUUUUCACUGCAGGGUCAAAACCCCUGAGAACAAACCAGGAGCAGAAAGAGUGUGUGAGAAAGUGCACCAGAGGCCAAAAGAAGUAACAGACAGAAACUCGAAGAAACUCCAACAAAAAGAUGGCUAUUGGCAGGAACUCCAGGAUGAGCUCAGUCCGAAGCUCCAUCAGGGCCCCAAAGUUUCUGGACAAAUCGAGUGGCUUCUAUGGUCGCCUCGACGAGCCCGAGGCCGCCACAGAGGUAGAGGAGACUGGUGUAAAUGUUUGCAACAUAGAGGAGGCAGUCUCGAGUGACCCAUCCAUCACAGCGGUGCAUUGUUCUGAUGAGAAGGAAGAAGGCGAGGUGUUUGGCUUCAGCGAAGGCAUGAUGGAAGAUGACGACGAGAGCCUCCUGAGGAGGAAACCCAGCCGCCGCAGCAGCAGGUGGAGGAGAAGCUCCAGGAGGAAGCAGAAAGAGGGGAGAGCAGACGAGGACGCAGCCAGAGAGGAGAGGCCCAGCCUGGGCACGGAGGGUCCAGCUGACUUCCCCGAGGACAUCAGGGUGAAGAUUGAGAUAGAGAUGGAGAACCUGAAGAAGGUGGAGGAAGAAAAUGAAAAGGCGGGCUGGGAGAAGGAACCCGUGCUCGUUCACUUCCCGGCUCGGGAGGACGCUGACGACCAAGUCCUUAUCCGAGACAAGAAGAGAGGAAGAGAAGACGAAGAGGAGGAGGAGAGGAGGAUGACGAAGGAGCAAGAGGAAGGGAUGAAAGUGGUGAAGAGGAAAAAUUACCGCAAGGCCUUGGACCGAGCACUGCGCCGCGGCUGGGAGGCCUUCGUCGCCAACCUCUACAGCGUCACGCUCUCACCGGUGAACUCCUCGCCAUCGUCGUCUUCACCGUCGUCGAAGAAGAAGCACCAGCACAAUUCAGUGUUAGCAGAAUUUCAAUAGAAAUGGAGAUAGAGAUGGACAAUGAAGCUUGAGGCUUCUUAACUUUUAAUAAUAUCAGGGUCAUGCAGCGUUUUACCGCGACUGCUGCAAAGUAUCGGACAAUCCUGCCUGUAUAACAUUUACCACAUGACGUGUCUGAGUCAUCACCUCAGGAAUAUUAAUCAAUUAUGUAACUUACUGAGUCUUGAUUACUCAGCUGAACCUUUAUCGCCUUAUUAGGAUGCACCUUAGUCAGGACACAAACUGCAGGGAUCCACUUUAGCUCGAUGGGCUGCUGGUUUUACAGUGAAGUCUAUGAGACUGGCCUGAACAGAAAUCCCUGGUCUUUAUGUGACUGAGUUCAGCAGCUGCUCGUCCCCUUCUGAUCUCCAGUUUUAGUCAAGUAAGAGCAUUUUAGCUCUUAAUAUCCAGUUCGUUACUAAGAGCUCGCAGUGCAAAUGAUCUCUGCUUCCUUUGGUUUAGCGCUGUGAAACUCCUCGAGUGUUGAUGUGUAACCAAAGGGGGUGGAAAGUUUAAAACGUAGCAGCUGACUGAUGGACUUUAGCUGUGGAGUAAUACAUACUUCUGUAGGAUUAACCGUGGUGCUCGUUGCCUAAUCAGACAAGCUAUUUAUGAGUAAAUAGUAUGCAGUAAAUCAGUAAUUAAACUUUAUUAGGGAUUCACAUUAUUAUGGACACAUUCUAUUAUUUAUGUAGGCUUUAUUGCAAGUGAAAAAGACGGACAGGGUCCAACCUUGUGCAAAGGAAUAUGUAAGAGUUUCUAUUAGAGCUUUUUAGCUUUUUCCUCAUGAGGUCCCUGCGUGUGUUCUAGUGAAGGUUAUUAAACCUGAAGGGACAGAGCAGGGAGGUGUAAGCUUAGAUGUCCGUCCAGAAAAAGAUAAUGCUUAUUUUUGGUCAAAAAAGUCAUAUUAAAUAGUGCAUAUUUUCUCUAUUUGAAUGCAAAGUUGUGUCUUUUUUAUGUGUUUGAUUUGUAAAACUGACGACUGUAUUUAAGAACUAUUAAUAAUGGACGUUUGUAGAUGUGACAAAAAUGCAAUAAAUGGUCUUUAAUUUUCAAA